rnacentral:tRNA from 1 species
GAUUCAACGGUUUUGCGACGAAUGCCGGUGGAACUACACCCUUCCACGGUCGAGAUGCGGGUUCGAAUCCCGUCGGCUCCA